AUUGAACGCUGGCGGCAUGCUUUACACAUGCAAGUCGAACGGUAACAGGGUGCUUGCACCGCUGACGAGUGGCGAACGGGUGAGUAAUGCGUCGGAACGUGCCGAGUAGUGGGGGAUAACGCAGCGAAAGUUGUGCUAAUACCGCAUACGUACUGAGGUAGAAAGUGGGGGACCUUCGGGCCUCACGCUAGUCUGGCGGCCGACGUCUGAUUAGCUAGUAGGUGAGGUAAAGGCUCAACUAGGCGACGAUCAGUAGCGGGUCUGAGAGGAUGAUCCGCCACACUGGGACUGAGACACGGCCCAGACUCCUACGGGAGGCAGCAGUGGGGAAUUUUGGACAAUGGGCGAAAGCCUGAUCCAGCCAUGCCGCGUGUCUGAAGAAGGCCUUCGGGUUGUAAAGGACUUUUGUCAGGGAGGAAAUCCCUAGUGCUAAUAACACUGGGGGAUGACAGUACCUGAAGAAUAAGCACCGGCUAACUACGUGCCAGCCGCCGCCGUAA
rnacentral:rRNA from 1 species